CUGCCCUCUGGGCGUCCAAGGCAGUCACUAGUUGACUUUAAAGGGCUUGAAAAAUGUCAGAAGAAAAUUGUGACACAGAAAAAUGUCUGCUUUGGAAGAUGGAAUGGGGUUUGUUGGGAGAGAUAUGGUUGUGCAGCAGUGGUUGUACAUGGUCUCUGAGAGUGAGGACUGGCACAAGUAGGAGAUAUGUGUGCCUGGGAGAGGGGAGAACCCAGGAGCCCUGAUCCUAGAUCCCAUUAGUCACUGGUUCUGCCCUUUAGCUGAAGGCAGUGUGAUGGAGUUGAGUUUGUAUUUGCUUAGUAGUUUGGCCUGCGAUGCCCUCUGCUUCGGGGGAAGGGAGAGGGGAGGAAUUGGUUUUGGCUGCUCCGUGAAAUGGUUGUUAUUCAUGGUGGGUGCAGGCAACCUGUACUUCCAGGUGCCUGUGACUCCUGAAGACACAGUCGGGUAUUUCUCAGAGCAGCAGGGUGGCGGCCUGGAGGACUCAUAGAAGGAGCUCUGCAAAUGUGUUGUGAAGGGGAGCUGUGACACCCUGAGCUUCCUGGGUGAGAGGCUGGCCUCUGGGGGCCUCCACACCUUGGUUUUACUCCUUUAUUCAAUCGCAUGAGACUCCUGAAUCUCAGAGCAGGAAGCAUGUGGAGAUCAUUUCUUCAGCCCUCUGUCUUCAGGCAGGUAGAAGGUAUCUGUCAUUAUCAUUUUGAGGUUUUAUGUAAUGAAAUGCAGAGGUUAUGUGACUUGUUCCAGGUCUCGUGGAGUAAAUAAACUGGAAUCUGCUCCUCGCUGUCCUGCCCUUCACAUGGUGCCAGAGGCAGCUCCUGCGUGCACACCUGUGGCUCACCAGCCUGUCUGCUCCUGGGGAGCUGGGGCCUCCCCUGGUUUACAUCUGCAUCUCUAGGACACCCACGCUGCACUCUGCACACUGAGUUCUCAGGAGAUUCCUGCUGAGCAAAGAAGGAUGAAUUGUAGGCCUGCUUCUUUUUUUUUUUUGAGACGGAGUUUUGCUCUUGUUUCCCAGGCUGGAGUGCAAUGGCGUGAUCUCAGCUCACCACACCCUCCGCCUCCCGGGUUCAAGUGAUUCUCCUGCCUCAGCUUCCUGAGUAGCUGGGACUACAGGCAUGGGCCACCACACCUGGCUCAUUUUAUAUUUUUAGUAGAGACGGGGUUUGUCUAUGUUGGUCAGGCUGGCUGCGAACUCCCAACCUCAGGCGAUCCACCCGUCUCGGUCUCCUAAAGUGCUGGGAUUACAGGAGUGAGCCACCGCGCUUGGCCAGGCCUGCUUUUAAGGAUGCCCCAGGUCCAGAAAAUCAGGGCCAGCCCUGGGAAGUUCGCUCCUUCAGGCAGGUGUGCAUCUUCAUGUGAGACUUGAUCAGACCUGGGUUUUUGUAUCUACCCCACUCCGAAGCUCUCCUGCGUGAACCUGGAAUUCUCACUGCUUUGGGCAGGUGAGCAGUUGGCUUUUUGUCCAGUCUUUCCCCUUGUUGGGCGACUGAGGCCCAGAACACAGUGCCUUCCCUCUCUUUGCCUGGCUGCAGAGGUUCCUCCUUCAGAAAAGGGUCCCAGUGUGCUGUGGGAGGCAGGGUGAGGAGGCUGUCCGGCCUCAGGCGAGGAAGGAGAAGCACAUGGAAGGAAGGGCAGCAGGAAGCCUGAACCUGACUGCCAUGAAUGGCCAGCCCCAAUCUUGGGCCUCAGUUUCCUCAUCUGUCUGGACUAGGUGACUUGCCUGUGUGGGCAGUGGAUGGGAACCCUUCCUCUUGGCCUCAUGGCACUCACUUCUAGCCCACGAAAACUGAGAGGCCUUGCCCACCCUACUCUCCAUGCCCCUUCAACACACGUCUUGAAGAGGCUGCUCCAAGCCUGGCAGAACACCCUCCCUUUCCAGGCCUGCAGAGGACAGCCCUGCCACUGCCCUUUUCCUCCCCACAGGCCAGGCCACCACCAAGCCAGAUCUGGCGCCAGUGGAGAAAGGAGACAGGGAGGCAACUGCAGCCUGCCCAGUGUGGAGAGGGGCCAGAGCCCGGGCACUGGCUUCACUCUCCUUGGAUGAAGGGACUGAGUCUUGCUGUGAUAUCCCCCUCCUCUAGCACCUUACACAGUGCCUGGCAUGUACUGAG
rnacentral:lncRNA from 1 species